rnacentral:rRNA from 1 species
AACGAACGCUGGCGGCGUGCUUAACACAUGCAAGUCGAACGCGAAAGGGACUUCGGUCCUGAGUAGAGUGGCGCACGGGUGAGUAACGCGUAAGUUAUCUACCCCUCCAUCUGGAAUAACUCACCGAAAGGUGUGCUAAUACCGGAUACGUUGGAAACAAGAAAGGUGGCCUCUAUUUAUAUGCUACCGUGGAGGGAUGAGCUUGCGUACCAUUAGCUAGUUGGUAGGGUAAUGGCCUACCAAGGCAACGAUGGUUAGCGGGUCUGAGUGGAUGAUCCGCCACACUGGAACUGGAACACGGACCAGACUCCUACGGGAGGCAGCAGUGAGGAAUAUUGCGCAAUGGGGGGAAACCCUGACGCAGCGACGCCGCGUGGAUGAUGAAGGCCCUUGGGUCGUAAAGCUCUUUCGGCCGGGAAGAAAUCGCAUGGGUGAAUACCCUGUGUGGAUGACGGUACCGGAACAAGAAGCACCGGCUAACUACGUGCCAGCAGCCGCGGUAAUGUG